rnacentral:misc_RNA from 1 species
GAUGAAGAACGCAGCGAAAUGCGAUAAGUAAUGUGAAUUGCAGAAUUCAGUGAAUCAUCGAAUCUUUGAACGCACCUUGCACCCUUUGGCAUUCCGAAGGGUAUGCUCGUUUGAGUGUCAUUGUACUCUCACACUCUCCGAUCCUAUGGAUUCGGGGAGCGGUGGACUUGGGUGUUGCUGCCUUUCCUUGUGGCUCACCUCAAAUGCGUCAGUGCACCUCUUGGUUGGACAUAGUACGGCGUGAUAAGUGUCUUCGCCGGCACCUCGCAAGAGGGUGGCCGAUCGGGAGCUCUGCGCUUUCAAACCGUCUUCGGACAAUUUCUGACAACUUGACCUCAAAUCGAGUAGGACUACCCGCUGAACUUAAGCAUAUCAAUAAGCGGAGGA